CAGAAUAUUUAUUCCUUUUGGAACUUAUAUUAUGAAGGAACUUAUAUUCCGUGACAGACCCACUAUCAACAUAAAUUUAUGUAAAUAUACGUUGAUUAAGGGUCUUCUCAUGGAUAGAAACGUAAAUAUACGUUGAUUGUGGGUCUUCCCAUGGAUAGAAACAAGUGUCUGUGAUCUGGUCUAUAAAAAAAUAUUUUGCCACAGUUUUGUAUUUAGUAACAAUCUAUUCAUGCAUUAGAUAAUGUGUCUGGGUUUUUUUACCACUGAUUAAAUCACCAAUCAAACCAUAUAAAUAGAUAGAGUUUGAAAAAAAUAUCUGGAACCGGAAACCAAAGACAGAAUGAAUAGAUAAAUAUAAUUAUAACUUUUUUUAUGCACCACAGGAACAUAUGUAUAUUGGCGGGACUAGACACAACCUAAUUGUAGCUGAUUUUAUUGUCGUGCUAUACAUGUUACGUAGGUAAUAAAGAUACAAUACAGUACCAGACAUGUGUUAAAAAAAAGUACUAACUAUUAUCCUAAUAAUUUCCGAUAAUAUCAAUCAAAUGUCAUUCAAACUAUAGUGAUGCCAGGGUAUCAAACUUAUAUUCUGUCACUUUAAAUUCGUUAUAACCACAUUCAUUUUAUCACAGAAUGCAAACAGGGUAAUUAAAAAACAGCGCCGAUUGCAGUCCAAAUUCAAAAACAUUAUAAAACACUUUUAUGAAUCACACUUAUUUUUGACAUCCCUUUUAUAUGACAAAAUAUAUUUACUUUAUAAUAAAACUUUAGAAUUAUGUGGUCAAUGCAUAGCCUCAGCAGUUUCAACGUUUUUUUCUGUAAUUGUCUACGCC
rnacentral:lncRNA from 1 species